rnacentral:rRNA from 1 species
GGAAUAUUGGUGAAUGGGCGAAAGCCCGAACCAGCAACGCCGCGUGUGCGAUGAAGGCCUUCGGGUUGUAAAGCACUUUUCACCGGGAAGAGGAAGGACGGUACCGGUGGAAUAAGCCUCGGCUAACUACGUGCCAGCAGCCGCGGUAAAACGUAGGAGGCGAGCGUUAUCCGGAUUUACUGGGUGUAAAGCGCGUGCAGGCGGCGCGUUAAGUUGGGUGUGAAAGCUCCUGGCUCAACCGGGAGAGGUC